CAGCUGGAGAGAGAGUAGAGUAUUUUAAGUUUGACGCUUGACACAACAUUUAGAAGUCCUCAAAGAAUCUCGACCGAAAGUGAUCCACCACAAUCCUCCUUGUAGCAGAGAUAUCAGCACAACUAUGCCCUAUAUCAAUAAUUCUGACAAUCCUAUUCUUCAUCCAUUUGCUCGAACAUUGAAUAUGGAAGAAUUUAGUGC
rnacentral:misc_RNA from 1 species